rnacentral:rRNA from 1 species
UACGGAGGGAGCUAGCGUUGUUCGGAAUUACUGGGCGUAAAGCACGCGUAGGCGGUUACUCAAGUCAGAGGUGAAAGCCCGGGGCUCAACCCCGGAACUGCCUUUGAAACUAGGUGACUAGAAUCUUGGAGAGGUCAGUGGAAUUCCGAGUGUAGAGGUGAAAUUCGUAGAUAUUCGGAAGAACACCAGUGGCGAAGGCGACUGACUGGACAAGUAUUGACGCUGAGGUGCGAAAGCGUGGGGAGCAAACAGG